CGCCUUGUUCUGUUACCGGAAGAGCAGACACGCCACCUGUGUUAGAGUGUUAAUAAUGAAACCUCCUGUACUACCGGCCUCAACAAAUAAGCCAAAGACUAAAGAAUGAAGACCGAGUCAGGUAAGAGAGUCAUGAUCGGAAUAAGUGUUUACAUGGACGCAUAAACCACCCCUCGUGAUAGGAAUACAAUUUCUUUCCGAUUAAGCCGAAUUGGAUCAGAAUUUCCCGAUCGAUAUGUUUACAUGACGCAUUUUUAUUCCGAUCGGGUGUUUAUUCCGAUUAUUUGUGCCCAUGUAAACUACUGUGUCAGAUUUGGUGAUCACAGAGUCAUAAAACUGUACUGUGACUUGAACAACAGACUACACAAUGGUUCACCGCCAAUCACCUCGAUACACGUGAUGCUGCUGCUGAAAGACAUGAGUGACAGAGACAUGUUAAAGAAUAGCUUUUCCAUGCAGUUCAGUGUCUAAAACUCGUGAUAGCGCCUCAGCUUGUUGUCCAGAUAUAUUAGAGGGAGAAAAAAAACACAAUUUGUGGGAUUCAAUUUCUUACAUCCCCAAGAAAAACUUUACAGUCCCACUAAAAGAACUGGAGAACAAGUGGGAGAAACGUGUAAACUCUAAAGCCCUGACUCAGAAUUAGAGUGAAAUGCAAAAAUAAACCAGACAUGUUUUAACUGAGCUUUACUCCCUCUGAUGAUAUCAAACACCCUUUACUGUAAGUGCGCUUGUCGCUUGACUUCACUUGACUCAUGCAGCCAAAAUCAGCCAACAAUCAAGCCCAGGAUCAGCUGAAUAAGUGUUGUGUGAGUAUUCCUGUGAAUAGUUUGCGCAAUUCACACAAACCUACAAUUUAUCCUUUUUUUUCUCUGGAACUGAGGUUGUUGGCACUUUAACACGAAAAUGCUGAUAGUGGACUUUGAUAAUAGAAAUGCGAGGUUAAUCAUAUCCCAUUCAAAAUACCAGAAAGACAUUGAAUUUGAUUUUGUAGAUAUGCUUGCUAUUAUGAAGUGCAGUAGAGCCUAAAUCACAUGCUAAAACCAAUUCUAAAUUUGGGUCCCAGUGAAUUUCACAUCUUUGUUGCAAGGUAGUAUUUCAUGUACUUACUCACCUGCAACGAAAACAGAUUUUUUUUUCUUUAAAGCCUUAUUUUGUAGCUAUUUUUCUUAGUUUAGAGAGGACAGGACAGAAGACAAAGUAGAAAACAAGGGGAGUGAUUUGCAGGAAAAGAGCCACAGGCUUGAGGCAAAUCCAGGUUGUACUUAUGAGGCGCAUGAGUAGACCACCAGGCCAGCAGUGUUCUCAAAGAGAAACUAUUUUUAUGUGCCGUCUGGGAAAAAAAUUGAAUAUUAGAAAUCAGUAAAAUUACUUUGAGGUUACUUGAAAACUGAUCAGACCAACGGCCCUCGAAUUUUCCAGUAAAAGAAAGCGUUCUGAGCAGCUGUGCAGCUUGCCUUAAGUUCGAUAAACCUUCACAGACACCAGUGAACCCUGAGGCCAACGCUUGCUGGCAAACACAGAGCAUAUGGAGGAAAAGGAAAGGGCAUGUAUGGCAUGAGUCAUUCCACAUGGGGAUAUCUUGUUCUCAGACUGGUAAAAAGUCUGCUCUGUUGAAACAAUUCGACCAUUUGACUGUGUCAGUUUAGGAUACCAGAGCCGGCAUUUGAAACUCUGCAGCGCUCCAGCUGUCACACCUGCUCUGGGCAUACAAUCUGCAUUAUGCAAUUAAGUGAACAGUAUGUGGGUUUUUAUACUUCUUUGUCUGCCAUUUUUAGGGACAAGAAUUAUUGUGAAGUGGUUUGGUUUUUUUAGUAUGUCUAUAUGUCAUCAGUGGUCUUGAAAUGCUCUGUUACGAGUUUGAAAGAGUGUGUGUGUGAGGCCAGGUGCUCUGAUCUUAAUGAACUCUGUGCAGAGAUACCUGAUAUCCAUCUCCUGUGCUUAUAGCCUGAAAAAAGACUGAUGUGUUUUAUUUACUGUGCAAAAGUUAAACAGAGUGAUUUAUAACCCCCAUAAACGAGCAUAUAGGACCCAAGCUAAACAAAAUUGGAUUCUGUCUCAUGGGAGUCUAUACAACACAUAAACCCAGCAUGUACUAAAAAUCAUGAAUGUCAUGUGUGAGACUGCGUUUAGGCACCAAAGGGUCAGGUUCAUUUACAAAAUCCAAGGUUACAGUCAGGAGUGUUUUUCAUGAAACAGGCUUGUGUUUAGAAAUGAGGACAUCAUGCAGAGAAAAGGGUAGUAAAGUCCCAGCAUGUUCAAAGAUCUCUGUGACUAACCAAAGCUUAAGGUUUACAUUGGUGAGUCUUUUGUAAAUAUCCAUAAACAGUGAAAAGGUUAAGGCUGCAGCGUGAUGUAAGCAAUGGAGAAAUGAACUCAUGAUGGCUGAACCAUCACCACACACAAACAAGGGCACCGCCGCUGCCUCACAGAAGAAAAACCAUGUCUUCUGUUGUGGUGAUUUUAAAAGUGUACAAACUGUUUGUACCAACAUUUAGGAAGGGAAAACAAUCAGAAAGUGAAACUUUAAAGAGUGAAUUUUAUAAUGACUUCAGUCUCUAUUUGAGCUCAGAAGUUCUGUUAAACAACUUCCCGUUUACGGAGACUUUAUCCAGACAAAAAUGUCUAAACGUGCAGAGACUAUAAAUUCCUUCUGCAACAUCAGAAAGUUUUCACCUGUUAAGAUAAAUAUCUAUUUGGCCAAUAGCAAAAAAAUAAAAUAAAACAUUUCAUGAAUCUCAUUUACAUGGUAGACAUCUGACUGGUCCUUCUGAGGAAACAGGGGGAGGUUGGGGAGUUCUGAGAGAUUUCCAAUUAAUUUUGUGGAUUUCCCCAUUUUUACUGCAGCAUGACUACAUUUUGGUUUAUGACUAAAUUCCUAAAGGACUGAGCAUUAUAAGCUGCUUAACAUCAGCCUGACAGACUUAUCAAUGUGGGGCAUAUUUGCAUGCUGAUGUUAGCGUAUAGUUCACAGUAAACCCCCACAGAGAGCUUGAGUCAUUUUUCAAAUUUAUGUACAUGACUGCACGUCUAUAAAUCUAUGACCUUUUAAAUACUGUAAUAUUCAGCACUGAGGCCUUUUUAAUUUAAAGUCUUACAUUUCAUAUAAAGCCCUUCUCAGCUCUCCAACUACUCAACAGUUUAGCUGGUGCUAAGUAGUUUAACACAACACCAUGAACUGUGCUACCUGUGCUUUCAACACACCCACCUUCAAAUCCCACUCAGGAUCAGUUUAAAUUGUUAUUUCAUCCCCAGACUCGGACCUGUGCCUCCCGCCUCCAUGUCUGAUGUGGCGUAUCAUAGCCUGGACACCAGUCAAGCACCCUUUAACUUUCCAGCAACUGGCUCGAGCCAAGUAUGUGACUCCCACUCGCAAGGAGUCUGAACUCCUUUCUAACACCCAUAAUCGUAGACCAAAUACCUCACUUGGAAUUUACUAAAAGAUAUCGAUGUUGUUAAAUUAUUUUCCAGACUGUAAAAACAACCUCCUACACUGACCUACACAUUCACAAGAAGGACCAGGAUGCUGUGUUAACAUUUUUCCUAUUUAGCCAGUACUGGACAUUAUUUUUGAUCAAAGUCAGCUCUUGUUAUAGUCAAUUUUAGGAAAAUAGCAGUUUUUUACACAUCUGGAAAAGUCUGGGAACUUACUUAGUUGAUUAGUUGAUCAGUACUUCAGGUAUUCUCCAUACUAUCCUUCAUCAAGCACAUUUUAAAAAACAAUUUGUUACAAAAAAGCACCAAUGAAUGCUGGUCAGCCUUUUGAGUAAACACGAAAUGGUUUUUAUCCACAAUACAAUACUGGAGAUAAUAUGGAUAAAAUCUCUACCUCACCCUUUAGUGUAGUUUUGGUGAAUUUUAAUUUUUUUGUCUGAACCUUUAGCUGAGAAAAAAAAAUUGGCAAACUUUGUAAUUUUUUAUUUAUUUAUUUUUUUUACACACUCCUACCUUUUUUAUGUUUGUUCCUCUGGUGCAUAUACACUCACCGGCCACUUUAUUAGGUACACCUGUCCAACUGCUCGUUAACACUUAAUUUCUAAUCAGCCAAUCACAUGGCGGCAACUUAGUGCAUUUAGGCAUGUAGACAUGGUCAAGACAAUCUCCUGCAGUUCAAACCGAGCAUCAGUAUGGGGAAGAAAGGUGAUUUGAGUGACUUUGAACGUGGCAUGGUUGUUGGUGCCAGAAGGGCUGGUCUGAGUAUUUCAGAAACUGCUGAUCUACUGGGAUUUUCACGCACAACCAUCUCUAGGGUUUACAGAGAAUGGUCCGAAAAAGAAAAAAUAUCCAGUGAGCGGCAGUUCUGUGGGCGGAAAUGCCUUGUUGAUGCCAGAGGUCAGAGGAGAAUGGCCAGACUGGUUCGAGCUGAUAGAAAGGCAACAGUGACUCAAAUAACCACCCGUUACAACCAAGGUAGGCAGAAGAGCAUCUCUGAACGCACAGUACGUCGAACUUUGAGGCAGAUGGGCUACAGCAGCAGAAGACCACACCGGGUGCCACUCCUUUCAGCUAAGAACAGGAAACUGAGGCUACAAUUUGCACAAGCUCAUCGAAAUUGGACAAUAGAAGAUUGGAAAAACGUUGCCUGGUCUGAUGAGUCUCGAUUUCUGCUGCGACAUUCGGAUGGUAGGGUCAGAAUUUGGCGUCAACAACAUGAAAGCAUGGAUCCAUCCUGCCUUGUAUCCACGGUUCAGGCUGGUGGUGGUGGUGUCAUGGUGUGGGGAAUAUUUUCUUGGCACUCUUUGGGCCCCUUGGUACCAAUUGAGCAUCAUUGCAACGCCACAGCCUACCUGAGUAUUGUUGCUGACCAUGUCCAUCCCUUUAUGACCACAAUGUACCCAACUUCUGAUGGCUACUUUCAGCAGGAUAAUGCGCCAUGUCAUAAAGCUGGAAUCAUCUCAGACUGGUUUCUUGAACAUGACAAUGAGUUCACUGUACUCAAAUGGCCUCCACAGUCACCAGAUCUCAAUCCAAUAGAGCAUCUUUGGGAUGUGGUGGAACGGGAGAUUCGCAUCAUGGAUGUGCAGCCGACAAAUCUGCGGCAACUGUGUGAUGCCAUCAUGUCAAUAUGGACCAAGCUCUCUGAGGAAUGCUUCCAGCACCUUGUUGAAUCUAUGCCACGAAGAAUUGAGGCAUUUCUGAAGGCAAAAGGGGGUCCAACCCGUUACUAGCAUGGUGUACCUAAUAAAGUGGCCGGUGAGUGUAUAUUCAUGCCACUGUUCCUCUGAAGCACACAUGGUUUAAUGUAUAACAGUUAUUUGAAAAAUAUUAACUUAAAUUGAUUCAAUGUUAUCAAAUUCUAUUUGUAAAUCUCACGGUGAGAUCCAGUACCUAUCAUGACACUUUUUUGUAACAGUUUUUCACCACAUACUUUUAUAAGAUAUAAAGUAGAGAGCUGCAACUACAUGAAAUGUUCUAAUACAGCUGUUCAAUGCUUUAACUGUAACUUACAGAUGAUUAAUCAUAACAUUAUGUCCACCUACCUGAUGUUGUAUGAGCCCCCCCUGAGCAGGUAAGACUUGGACUCCACUAGACCUUCAAAGAUCCUGGAAGUAAUCAAGUUGAGCCUCCUAACAGUGGACAUGUUUGUCAAACACAUCCCACAUGCUUGAUUAGAUUGAGAUCUGGGAAACCGGGUGGCCAAUUCAACACCUUGAACUCAUUACCGUGGUCCUCCAGCCCCUUUUCUUUCAUUGCUCUGUGGUCCAGGUCAGUUUUGAUACAUGUGUAAUGCAGGCUCAUCUGAUGGAGAACAGAAAAGCACCCCAUCCAGUCCGGGGCUACACAGCCUCAUGUACAACACACUGUGGCACACUGCUUUGCAACAUGCAUGACCAAGUCCAAGUCAUUACAGAUGAGUGUUGAUGAUGUUAUGGUUUAUCAGUGUAUGAGUAUUUAAGGUUAAACUGCUAACUUAACUGCACAGGCAAAGAAGUCUGCUGACUUUCUCUGUUCAUUGUGCAGGUGCUUCCUGAGGAUCUGACUUUUUCCUUGACACAGACCAGAGGAGCUGUUCACUUAUCUUAUCCACAGUGAGUUCAACCUCUCUUACUCAACUUGAAAACAACUUGCAACAACAUUACAAAUAACAGAGCAGUGAUUUUCCCCUCCAGGAAACACUAGUCUGUCUUUGUUUCCAAUAAGUGUUCCCUUACUAAAAAUAAAAUAUCAAGUCUCCAAGUGAAAACCCACACUUUAAACUCUUAGAUUAUUUUCAAGGCUGCAUUAACAGAUAUACAGUAUGUAUAUUUAUGCUGACGAACAUAACUAACUAAAGUCUUUCUUUUAAAUGGUAGCCAGGAAGUAGACAGACCCACUGUUCAAAUAAACUAACAUCCUCAAGAACGUGACUUUGAAUUUCCAAGUCAAGUUUAUGUGGUUGAUCAAGCCGAACUUGUAGCCAACAGCCUGAAACUUGCAUGAAAUCGCCUGCAUGUUUUUGUAAUAUUAUUCCGUCUGCAGACAGACCCAUCAGACAAAGACCAGUGAUAUCAUUGAACAGAUGCACUCCUGUGAUAAUGUACAACUCUACUUUUGUUCUCUCCUGGGUGACUUAUCCUCUUUCUCACUUUUUCCAGCACACGGUGUUGUUGACAGUUCUGCUGAGUGGUAUAAGGUAAAGAAUUCACCAUUAAUCCCCCUCAUCGGUGUAGAGGAGAUGGAUUGACAGCUCUGACAGUCUCUCCAGAGGGAGGGUUAAAAACAUCUGACAAACACUUAUUGUCCUAAACACCCCUAAGAAUUGAAAGCAGCUUUAAGAUACAGUACAACCACACCCACACUCUGUGCCAUCCUCUGACAUAAUCCAAAAAGAAACAAGAGCG